GAUGAACGCUGGCGGCGUGCCUAAUACAUGCAAGUCGAGCGAACGGACGAGAAGCUUGCUUCUCUGAUGUUAGCGGCGGACGGGUGAGUAACACGUGGAUAACCUACCUAUAAGACUGGGAUAACUUCGCGAAACCGGAGCUAAUACCGGAUAAUAUUUUGAACCGCAUGGUUCAAAAGUAAAAGACGGUCUUGCUGUCACUUAUAGAUGGAUCCGCGCUGCAUUAGCUAGUUGGUAAGGUAACGGCUUACCAAGGCAACGAUGCAUAGCCGACCUGAGAGGGUGAUCGGCCACACUGGAACUGAGACACGGUCCAGACUACUACGGGAGGCAGCAGUAGGGAAUCUUCCGCAAUGGGCGAAAGCCUGACGGAGCAACGCCGCGUGAGUGAUGAAGGUCUUCGGAUCGUAAAACUCUGUUAUUAGGGAAGAACAUAUGUGUAAGUAACUGUGCACAUCUUGACGGUACCUAAUCAGAAAGCCACGGCUAACUACGUG
rnacentral:rRNA from 1 species